UCUUGCUGGACAACAUUGAUCCGGGGAUUUUCAACAUGGUGCAUACUGUAUUCCCUCGUAUUCAGUGUUUUGAUCAGAAAAGACUUAGGGAAAUGAUAGUGAUGGCGCGUUGUGAUCAGCGUGGUGUCGUAACUUAUGUCCCUGGAGCGGUGCGUCCUACAGAUUCGGUGUGUUAUACGCGUGUAGUUCUGGGGAGCCCACCAUGUGGAGUUGCUACAUCAAUUCCAUCAUCAUCGAAGCGACCAGUUGUUGGGUCCUUCGAGACACCAAAACGUGAAGCAAUGGUGGGCGGUGUAAGCGCCAACAAAAGCCCAGCAACUUCCCUGGGUGAUCCUAUGGAGAAUCGGUUUGUUGGUCUGAGUGAUUUCAGCAAGCAUCUUCCUCAGAUUUGCAAAGAUGAUUCGGUCUUGGAGGAGUUGAGCCUUAUGCUGAAACAACACAAUGUGAAGUGUACACUGAGUACGACAUUGCUGCGUAACCAAUUGCAGUCUGAUAUGUUUUGCUUUGCUGAGAAAAUGGUUGCAUUUGUGAAGGACCAAUGUAGAUGCUGUGCAAAAAAAGGGUUGUCCAAGUGUAUUACAAUUUGUGAAACUGGUAUUGCUCAAUGAUGUCUUCUUUCAGAUGUCAAUUUAUGUUGUGAUAAAACAAUAGAAGCUAUGUUUUCUGUUUGCUGUGUGGCGAAUGCUAGUUUUGUUGUAUAUAUGUAUAUCAGAGCAGGUGGCGAUCGUCGGAGAGGAGUGAGUGAAGUGGGACGCAGGCUCGAGAUGUUUGAUGAUGAAGGUGCCAGCAAUGCGAAUGAUGAGGCUAAUGAGCAAAGAAUAAAAAGGAGCCGAAAUGUUAUAAACGAAAGCAGAAUGGACUUGCGAUAUAUGCACAAAAUAUCGUCGAGAUGGUUCAAUCCCUUCAUGAAAAUGAGUCACAGGAGGCAAAUGUUGUUUAUUUUAGUUCAACUGAAGCAAAGCUACCAAAGCGUAGGUAUGUUGCAUCUGCAAGUUUUUGCGGUGAUCCAUGGACACGGGGGUGUCUCCCGCAGCCGCCUCCAAUAGCAUUGACGAGCAAGUUCAAUUC